rnacentral:rRNA from 1 species
AGAGUUUGAUCAUGGCUCAGGAUGAACGCCGGCGGUGUGCCUAAUACAUGCAAGUCGUACGCACUGGCCCAACUAAUUGAUGGUGCUUGCACCUGAUUGACGAUGGAUCACCAGUGAGUGGCGGACGGGUGAGUAACACGUAGGUAACCUGCCCCGGAGCGGGGGAUAACAUUUGGAAACAGAUGCUAAUACCGCAUAACAACAAAAGCCGCAUGGCUUUUGUUUGAAAGAUGGCUUUGGCUAUCACUCUGGGAUGGACCUGCGGUGCAUUAGCUAGUUGGUAAGGUAACGGCUUACCAAGGCGAUGAUGCAUAGCCGAGUUGAGAGACUGAUCGGCCACAAUGGAACUGAGACACGGUCCAUACUCCUACGGGAGGCAGCAGUAGGGAAUCUUCCACAAUGGGCGCAAGCCUGAUGGAGCAACACCGCGUGAGUGAAGAAGGGUUUCGGCUCGUAAAGCUCUGUUGUUGGAGAAGAACGUGCGUGAGAGUAACUGUUCACGCAGUGACGGUAUCCAACCAGAAAGUCACGGCUAACUACGUGCCAGCAGCCGCGGUAAUACGUAGGUGGCAAGCGUUAUCCGGAUUUAUUGGGCGUAAAGCGAGCGCAGGCGGUUGCUUAGGUCUGAUGUGAAAGCCUUCGGCUUAACCGAAGAAGUGCAUCGGAAACCGGGCGACUUGAGUGCAGAAGAGGACAGUGGAACUCCAUGUGUAGCGGUGGAAUGCGUAGAUAUAUGGAAGAACACCAGUGGCGAAGGCGGCUGUCUGGUCUGCAACUGACGCUGAGGCUCGAAAGCAUGGGUAGCGAACAGGAUUAGAUACCCUGGUAGUCCAUGCCGUAAACGAUGAGUGCUAGGUGUUGGAGGGUUUCCGCCCUUCAGUGCCGGAGCUAACGCAUUAAGCACUCCGCCUGGGGAGUACGACCGCAAGGUUGAAACUCAAAGGAAUUGACGGGGGCCCGCACAAGCGGUGGAGCAUGUGGUUUAAUUCGAAGCUACGCGAAGAACCUUACCAGGUCUUGACAUCUUGCGCUAACCUUAGAGAUAAGGCGUUCCCUUCGGGGACGCAAUGACAGGUGGUGCAUGGUCGUCGUCAGCUCGUGUCGUGAGAUGUUGGGUUAAGUCCCGCAACGAGCGCAACCCUUGUUACUAGUUGCCAGCAUUGAGUUGGGCACUCUAGUGAGACUGCCGGUGACAAACCGGGGGAAGGUGGGGACGACGUCAGAUCAUCAUGCCCCUUAUGACCUGGGCUACACACGUGCUACAAUGGACGGUACAACGAGUCGCAAACUCGCGAGAGUAAGCUAAUCUCUUAAAGCCGUUCUCAGUUCGGACUGUAGGCUGCAACUCGCCUACACGAAGUCGGAAUCGCUAGUAAUCGCGGAUCAGCAUGCCGCGGUGAAUACGUUCCCGGGCCUUGUACACACCGCCCGUCACACCAUGGGAGUUUGUAACGCCCAAAGUCGGUGGCCUAACCUUUAUGGAGGGAGCCGCCUAAGGCGGGACAGAUGACUGGGGUGAAGUCGUAACAAGGUA